UUAAAAAGCUCGUAGUUGAACUUCAGACCUGGCUGGGCGGUCUGCCUAACGGUAUGUACUGUCCGGCUGGGUCUUACCUCUUGGUGAGCCGGCAUGCCCUUCACUGGGUGUGUCGGGGAACCAGGACUUUUACCUUGAGAAAAUUAGAGUGUUCAAAGCAGGCUUAUGCCCGAAUACAUUAGCAUGGAAUAAUAAAAUAGGACGUGCGGUUCUAUUUUGUUGGUUUCUAGAGUCGCCGUAAUGAUUAAUAGGGAUAGUUGGGGGCAUUAGUAUUCCGUUGCUAGAGGUGAAAUUCUUGGAUUUACGGAAGACUAACUAUUGCGAAAGCAUGUGCCACGGCAUGUUUUCCUGAAUCAAGAACGACGGUUAGGGGAUCGAAAACGAUCAGAUACCGUUGUA
rnacentral:rRNA from 1 species